CGCUCAGAUGGCCUAGUGGUCAGAGCGUCCGCCUCCGAUGCGGGAGGUAAUGGGUUCGAUUCCCGGUCGAGUCA